UGGGGAAUCUUGCGCAAUGGGCGAAAGCCUGACGCAGCAACGCCGCGUGCGGGAUGACGGCCUUCGUGGUUGUAAACCGCUUUCAGCAGGGACGAAAAUGACGGUACCUGCAGAAGAAGCCCCGGCUAACUACGUGCCAGCAGCCGCGGUAAUACGUAGGGGGCAAGCGUUGUCCGGAUUCAUUGGGCGUAAAGAGCUCGUAGGCGGUUCAGUAAGUCAGGUGUGAAAGCUCCGAGCUCAACUCGGAGAGGCCACCUGAUACUGCUGUGACUUGAGUCCAGUAGAGGAGCGUGGAACUCCUGGUGUAGCGGUGGAAUGCGCAGAUAUCAGGAAGAACACCUGCAGCGAAGGCGGCGCUCUGGGCUGGAACUGACGCUGAGGAGCGAAAGCAUGGGUAGCAAACA
rnacentral:rRNA from 2 species